AAAAAAUACGCAUGGUGAAAGUGUGAAAACACGGGAUCUAAUGCUGUAUAUAACCACCUGUUUACCUUUACCUGUUGCUUCCGUGGAAUUACGGGUGCUCUUCCUGUUCGCAGGCUUGAGUUACCUUCCACGGGUGUAUUUAAAAAAUUGUUUUGUACUAUUGUCUGAUAUAAAAUUUUAAUAAAAGUUA
rnacentral:misc_RNA from 1 species